rnacentral:lncRNA from 1 species
AUUUUCCUAUUAUUUUAUGUUGUUAGCUUUUGAAAAAUUAGAUUGAUCUACUUAGUGUCUUUCUUAUAUGAACUUAAUAUAUUUAAAGUACCUUGCAUGGUGCCUCACACAUGAAGUAAUGCCAGCUAUUUCAGUAAAUGCUAGCUAUUUCUAUGAAGAACUUGAGUUAGUUUGGAGAUAUUUAACCUCAAUUUCCUCUGAUUUUAAAAAAGGAGAACUUUUUUUGUAAUCCUUUCCUUAUCUGAAAGUAAGAAGUCUCUGAUUCCAGUAUUAUAGGAGAGAUAGUGGGAUUUUUCUUGACAGGGUCUAUAGCUCAAGUCCCAAAGAGGCAAGACUCAGGAUGGAAUGCAUGUGGCCACUAGGCCCUGUUAUAAGAACCUAGUGUUUCCUCUGUACUGGCAUGGUAGGCCAAGUUAGUCUCUUUCUUACCCAGAUAUAAGACAUAAAAUAGUUUAGACAUAAGACAGAGGAGAAAAAGAAACAGUAAGUUAUGGAGAAGGAAGGCAGCUCAUUUCUGCAGGCCCCUCAAAAUGCUUAUUUUAGCUCAUACUCUUCUAUGCGUGAAGAGAAAAAUGCACCCAUUAUUUUACAAGGAUGUGAAUACUGAUAUACAAACAUAGACUAAGCUUGUUAAUUUUAAUAACAAAUCUUUAUGAAUCUGAAGAGAAUUGAUGUUCAUGAUAAUGAUAUAGAUGUUUAAUAUACUUUCUGAAAUAACACUGUUUACUGUUCAAGUUAUAUUGACUAUAAUUUACAUUAUUCUUGUUUGAGAAUUGUAUGGCAUAGACACUCAUUAGUCAGAGUGUCUAGACAUCCAGACCAUGCCUGAUAACACAAGAAUCAUAUAUCAUUCUCUAGAAAACAGGCUGUUUGGUUAUAGAGUAUUUAUCUUAAAUAUAUUAACAGACACUACAUAAACAUUGAAAAGCCAUGCAAGUUAUAGCUCACAGGAGCCAGAUCUACUGCAACUGGGGCCUACAUACAAAAUUUUAUGGCAGUGGUUUCAGUAUGACAAUCUUUUGAAUUGAUGCCGUAUGGUAAAACUAUAAAGAUUUUUUAAAAGCUCUGUCUCAGCUAGAAUUUUUAAGAUUAUAACUGAACAGUAUAGCCCUUUUAGUUGUUUGAAAAUUACAUAAUGAUUCAAAAGCUUGUUUCACUGCCUUUCCCAGCACUAAGAAAAUUAACAAUCAUUUCUUUUAAUUUCCUUGAAUCAGAGCCAUUCUAAAGUGACUCUGGACCAGCAAUUCUGAGCUAUGAUUUCAUGAUACAUGUAUUAAUAUCUAAAUGAGUUGUGAGUUGACAUAAGAACCAUAGUUCCAUAAUAAUUAUCUUCAAAUCAAUGGAUAUCUUAAAUGUGUUUUUUUCUUCCUUAGAGAUUAUUAUUAAACUGAUGUAUUUGAUAAUAAAGAAUUUUAGGACUGAGAAAGUUAAGUUUUUCUUACCAAUAAUAAGAUAUUGAAAUAUAUAAAUUAUAAAACAGAAAUAAAAUGAAAUAAAGGAGGUUAUCCCUAAAGUCAUUUACCUUAGUCACUUGCAAUUAAAUAUGGUUACUUCGGAAGAAGAAGUGUGGCCCUAAAGCUACUGUAACAUGAAUCAUGCCCUAAUGUGCACUAUAUAUGAACUACUUUGGUCAGAAGGCAGCGGCGGGUAAGGAUGGCUUCCUCUCACAGUGCUUCUUAGGCUAUCCAUUUACCAAGGAAUUCUAAUCUCUUUCUCUCACUUCACCAGGAAAGGAGGGAGUUUAAGAUAUAGAACUGGGCAUGCUAGCCUCUUUUUUCCCUUUUGUGGAUUUGUCAUAACUGCAGAGAACCGAUGUUGUGGUCUCUUGCCAGCUACAUUGUGAACCUUGCAGUGAAAGUUCUUUGCCUCUGCAAAGGGAGAUUUGUGCUUGUGCAGAACUGCCCAUGCCUUAGUAAGCAGGUCUGUCUAAUUCUAAGUUCAAUAUCUGGUGGCUAUUGUUGGCAUAAACUUAAAGUACAUCCUCUAACCUAGCCUUUUUCAGCAGUAAACUUAAAAUAUUGAAUCUCCAUCUGUCUGUGUCUCAAGUGGUUCAGAGGUCAGGAGAGGAGAGGGACAUUAUUUUAUGACUCCCUCAAACUUUAACAAAGACUAGUGCAGAUUAUAUUUCGAAGUAAGCAUGAGAUAUAUUAAAAACCACAUGUGGGAAUUCUUUCCUAAUUUUAGAGGUUUUUUUUAAAUAAUGGAAAUUCUAUUGAAAUUGAGUAGUGUUAAUUACAAGGCAACAGGUAAACAUUUGUUCAGGAUAUUUAAAAGGUCUGCUGAGUUGGAAUUGUGACAGACCACAUUGUUGACUCUAGAUUGAAUUGGAAGGGAAGAAUGUGAAAUGAAUUAGGAUAUCCUCUGUUCACCUCUAUUAACUUUCUUAAAUGAGUAUAACUUAGAAAUAAUAAAAUGCAAGUAUUUUAACGUUAUAGUUGGGAGAGUUUUGACAAAUGUAAACACCCACUUCACCACCACUACCAUCCUGAUAUAGUGUGUGUCCAUCACCCAAAAAGUUCUCUAAAGCCCUUUUGCAGUUGGUUCCCCUCCACCUGAACAGCCAUCCCUAGUCAACUACUUUUCUGCUUUCUGUGGCUAUACGUUAGAUUUGACUUCAGAAUUCUAGAGUUUGAAAUAAAUAGGCCAUAUAAUAUGCACUCUUUUUGUGUCUGACUUUUUUUUUGCUUAACAUGAUGCUUUUGAAACCCAUCCAUGUUGAGAUUCAUCCAUGUUAUCAUGUGUAUCAAUAAUAAGUUCCUUUUUAUUGCUGAAUAGUAUUCUAGUAUAUAGAUAUACCACAAUUUGUUUAGCUGUUCACCUAUUGAUGGACAUUUAGGUUGUUUCAAGUUUUGAUCUAUUAUGAAUAAAGCUGCUAUAUAUAUAAAUCACAAUUCUAUGUGUGGACAUAUGUGUUCAUUUCUCUUAUGUAAAUACCUAGGGAUGGAAUUGCUGAGUCUUAUGACCAGUUUAUGCACAACUUUAAAGGAAACUGCCAAACUUUUCCAAAUUAUCUGUACCAUUU